CUGAAGCAGACGAUUUUCGACCCUAUUUCGACGAAGAGUUCCGGAUGAAGACAAACAAGUAUUACUUUUCAGAUUCUGAAGAAAGAUGUGACGACGACCCCAUUGAUUGUCCUUCUCUAGCAUCGGUGUUUCUAGGAGAUGAAAAUUAUGGCCUAACAGGACUAUAUGGUAAAUAAAUCGUGUUGUACGAGGAAAAGAGAGAGGUAAAACUUAUUGAAAUAUUGGAAACCAAAAUGCCAAGAUAUGAGGAAGAAGUAUGUUUCUAAGUAAAUACAAUAUUAGAUGUAGUAUAUAUACUAACAAAUCAUUACACUACAAAAAAAAUGACAUUCUAUGACACUUCAUUAGUACUCAAAUUGAGAGGAAAGAAGAAACAAAUGUUAUAAAAGGUUAAAAAGCGCUAUUUUGGUGGAAAAAAGAAUACUGUUUUCGGAAUUUAUUUUUCCGUGACAAUUAUUUUUUGUCAUAAAAGGGUUUAGGAAUAUAAAAUAGUUUUUUAAAAUAGAAAAUCUCACAAUUUCCCAAAUUCUCAAGCCCAUAAUUUCUAAAUCUGACGCUUAAUUUCUCAAAGUCUUCCACGCCACUCCAAAUUUGCUAUCGUCUGCCGUCGUCUUCAACAUCCGCCAAAGCUUCGACGUUUGAUCGAGUCUUCGACGUCCGACCGAGUCUUUGAUGUCCGACCGAGUCAUCAACGUCCGCCCAGUCUUCGACGUGCACAGUCCGCCCACUAUUCGACGCGUACAGUCCCACCAUCACCACCAGUCCCUUCGACGCCGCCGCUUCAUAUAGUUCUAAAUUAAGAAGACUACUAGUGCGUACCUUUUGUAGCCACACACGGCUUAUAAAUGCUACAAUUAUUAGUCAAUUAGUGAGUAGGUGUUUUCUUAUUUGAUAGAGAUCUCUUUGUGGGAGUUUAAUGGCAAGAUAUCUUCUCCAAAAGAAGCUUGUAAUGCCUUAUGCCUUUUCCCAUAAAGUUCAAGAUGGAUUUCUUGGGUUUGAGCUCCAAGAAGCCAUUGGCUGUGGUGAAACAGGAGAUUGACUACGAUGAAGCGCAAGAUUCUGGGUAAGGCAGGCUCGUACAACUGAGUUUUCAAACAUUCUUAUGUUCAAACUCACAUUAGAGUUGAUGCCUCUUAGACUCGCAAUCAAGGAUAUGGAAGGACCAAGGGGAGAGGGACUCCGAGAGUACCAACUCCUCCUUCUCCACCUAGGAAAGAUAAAUUUGGUGAUGAUGAGAAAAUCAAGAUCGAGAUUGACGAGUCUUUUUUUGCUAGCUAGUCAUGGAUCAUCCUAAUUUGUUUAUUUGAAUGUGUUUUCUUAAUUUAGAAGGUACUUCCACUUCUUCUAAUAGCAUUAUUUUUGUAUGAAUUAUAUACAAAUUUUUUUUAAGAUCAAUGAAGGAUACAGAACAUUUGAGGUACAUAAUGAUGAAAACGCAGAAUCUGAUGAGGUAUA